GCAUGCCACAUCAGCAGGAUCAUACUUUCCCCAAAUGUAAUUUUAAUUUUGGAUAUAAUUUCUUCAAUCAUUAAAGGUUUGGUUAAUUAGGCCAAAAUUGAAACCAGUGGAUUAAAACACAACAUCGAAAAGGUUAAGAUUUUUAAUAUGAUUUAGGCCUAAAUUUUAUACCUUAUUCUAUAAGCUUGAACUAACAUAAAUGUGGUUUAUUCUGUUCUGUUUUUGUGUGAUGACAUUGAAAUGAGUGAUUAUUUCUUCUGGUAGAGAGAGUAUAACAUGCUGAGAGUUGAUAGAAUCGAAAUUAUUAUGGUGUAAAUAUCUCCCCCCCACAACACAACCCCCCGCCCCCCCUUCUUUCCCCUUCCUCGCUCUCUCAUGCACACACACACACGCAUCUAUUGUUGAAAUAAGUAUUGAUUCUUUGUUUUUCCUUGAAGUCGUAUGCAGUUACAGCACU
rnacentral:misc_RNA from 1 species